rnacentral:rRNA from 1 species
UGGGGAAUAUUGGACAAUGGGCGCAAGCCUGAUCCAGCAAUGCCGCGUGUGUGAAGAAGGCCUUCGGGUUGUAAAGCACUUUUAUCAGGAGCGAAACGCUGUCGGCUAAUACCCGGCGGAACUGACGGUACCUGAGGAAUAAGCACCGGCUAACUUCGUGCCAGCAGCCGCGGUAAUACGAAGGGUGCAAGCGUUAAUCGGAAUUACUGGGCGUAAAGCGUGCGUAGGCGGUUUCUUAAGUCUGCUGUGAAAUCCCCGGGCUCAACCUGGGAAUGGCAGUGGAUACUGGGAGGCUAGAGUGUGUCAGAGGGUGGUGAAUUCCCGGUGUAGCGGUGAAAUGCGUAGAGAUCCGGGA